rnacentral:rRNA from 1 species
CCUACGGGGUGCAGCAGUGGGGAAUAUUGGGCAAUGGGCGCAAGCCUGACCCAGCAACGCCGCGUGAAGGAAGAAGGCCUUCGGGUUGUAAACUUCUUUUUUCAGGGACGAAGAAAGUGACGGUACCUGACGAAUAAGCCUCGGCUAACUACGAGCCAGCAGCCGCGGUAAUACGUAGGUGGCAAGCGUUAUCCGGAUUUACGGGGUGUAAAGGGGGUGUAGGCGGGUGAGUAAGUCAGACGUGAAAUUCCAGGGCUCAACCCUGGAACUGCGUUUGAAACUGUACUUCUUGAGUGAUGGAGAGGCAGGCGGAAUUCCGUGUGUAGCGGUGAAAUGCGUAGAUAUACGGAGGAACACCAGUGGCGAAGGCGGCCUGCUGGACAUUAACUGACGCUGAGGCGCGAAAGCGUGGGGAGCAAACAGGAUUAGAUACCCCAGUAGUC